AGGAUCGUCACCCAAAGUGACGCAGUUUUCCACCAAGUUGAGGUGUCAAAGCUUUGCUGUGAAAAUGGCUUCUUCUCUCAAAACAUUCGCUUUGGUUGGGCUUAUCUGUGGCUAUUUUAUUUUAAUUUGUAGCAUUUAUUACACCAUCGAGAAUGUUACGAAAAUUGUCAAUGGUGACAACAUCGGAUUUUUCGGUUUGCCGGUGAAUCUUGCUUGGGCGUUGAUGACGUUCGCUUUUCUUGUCAGCAUUAAAAAGAAAAACCUUAAGCUUGCAAAACUUUACAAAACGUUUUUUGUCACCAGCUUCAUAGGCACUGUUUUGCUCGAGGUGAUUCUAAUACAUGUUGAAGCUGACAAUCAGGUGCAGAUUUACGAGACUACAGUGAACGUGUGGACUCUUACGGUGAUUGUGAUUGGAGUAGCAUUGGUCAUAUUUGCAGCCUUUUUGUGGAUCAUCACCCAAGUAAUUCGAUAUAUUGAAAGUGAAAAUGAGACAGGAGAGGCAACUGAAAUUUUUAAACCAAUACAAUAGUCUUUUAAUCUUGCUAAAAUGAUAUGCUGAAAAAAAUUGAAAAUGAGUCCUAACAUAACUGACAAUAAAAAUGAAUCAGUCAUAAUUUAAAGUGAAAAAAAUAAUAUCCAGUUUGGUUUUACAAUGUUAAUUAAGUGUGUAGUUAAAGAAUAUUUUUUUUUUUUCAUUUAA